rnacentral:rRNA from 1 species
UACAGAGGUCCCGAGCGUUGUUCGGAUUCACUGGGCGUAAAGGGUGCGCAGGUGGGUUUGCAAGUUCGAUGUGAAAGCCCCGGGCUUAACCCGGGAAUGGCAUUGGAUACUGCAGAUCUGGAGGAUCGGAGGGGGGACUGGAAUUCUUGGUGUAGCAGUGAAAUGCGUAGAUAUCAAGAGGAACACCAGUGGCGAAGGCGAGUCCCUGGACGAUACCUGACACUGAGGCACGAAAGCCGGGGGAGCAAACAGG